rnacentral:pre_miRNA from 1 species
GUCUUGAAUAGGAAGAUGGAGAUGGCCUAAGAACAGCAAGAAUGGGAACAUGGAGGAAAGCCUGAACUAUUUGUUUUAUCCUCUAGCUACAGAGGUACAGGCUUGGUUUGGUUUUUCCAGAUGCCUCACAUUCCUUUUGUUCUUGAGCACUCGUUCCUUUUCCUUAUGGCU